rnacentral:rRNA from 1 species
GAUGAGCGCUGGCGGCGUGCCUAAUACAUGCAAGUCGAGCGAAUAGACGAGGAGCUUGCGCCUCUGACGUUAGCGGCGGACGGGUGAGUAACACGUGGAUAACCUACCUAUAAGACGGGGAUAAUUUCGGGAAACCGGAGCUAAUACCGGAUAAUAUAUUGAACCGCAUGGUGCAAUAGUGAAAGACGGUUUUGCUGUCACUUAUAGAUGGAUCCGCGCCGGAUUAGCGAGUUGGUAAGGUAACGGCUUACCAAGGCAACGAUGCGUAGCCGACCUGAGAGGGUGAUCCGCCACACUGGAACUGAGACACCGUCCAGACUCCUACGGGAGGCAGCAGUAGGGAAUCUUCCGCCAUGGGCGACAGCCUGACGGAGCCCCGCCGCGUGAGUGAUGAAGGUCUUCGGAUCGUAAAACUCUGUUAUUAGGGAAGAACAAAUGUGUAAGUAACUCUGCACGUCUUGACGGUACCUAAUCAGAAAGCCACGGCUAACUACGUG